UGGCUCUGGGUUUAAGGUUUAGAUAAGUCUGUAUUUUGUGGAUUGGACAACACAAGUCACACAAUCAACCUUUUACCAUAUUUGGUUCUCACGAUUUUAUUUGUUUCAGUCAUGAACAUGCCAUGGUUUCAUGAGAGCUUAGAGAAUAGGCCUUUACUAUCAUUCUCCUUGAAGCAACUUCUACUUCACCCUCACAUAAGUGAUUCAUAUACGUUUAAUCCUAC
rnacentral:lncRNA from 1 species